rnacentral:lncRNA from 1 species
GGGUGCUGGCCACGCAGGAGGCUUAACCUGGCCGGCGCGGGAAUGGGGUGCAGAGAGCAAAGAAAUGUGGCUUUGAUCUUAUGGAUGCCUUACUUUUACAUUAUUUGUACAGUUCUUGCAGUGAGCUUUCCGGACCACUGUCUUGUAUGUUUCCUAAGAAAAGCAAAAAGGGAAGAGAUUGAAGAGAAAGUAGAUUUUCAACUACAAACUUUCAUCCAUUUGCUUUCAGCUUAAGCAAAUGUGCGCAAAGUUGUCAUGGAUUUUUGCAGUCAAUAAAAACCAAGCAAGAAGACUGAAUCCCAAGUCAUCUGGGGCAGAUAAGAAAAGAAACAAUUUGCUGAAACUCCCUCUGCUUAUAACAAAACUGACUGAAAUCAGCCGGAAUCAAUAUGGCCAAAUGCAGUUUGCGCACAGCAAGCUUGCUGAUGUCACAGCCUGAAUUUCUACUGCAUGUUUCAUACCAACUCCCUCCAAAUUUGCACAUGGGACCCACCAGGAAGCAUGAAGAGAGAGCCAUGCAUGCCUGAAGACUUCCCAGAUGUUCCCUUUGCUUCCACCAAUCACCUGCUAACCCCAGGAUCCAACCCUAAACCUUUUGUAAUAAAAUUACUGCCCUAAAGCCAGUACAAGACAGAUUUGAACUGGACUUUUGUUUCCUCAGAAGUUAACUUGCAAUGUGAAGCUUUCCUUUUCUCAAAAACUUGGUGUCAUAGUGUUGGCUUCUAGUGCAGUGAGCCCCUUUUGCUG